GGUUGCGAUCGUACCAGCACUAAUGCACCGGAUCCCAUCAGAACUCCGCAGUUAAGCGUGCUUGGGCGAGAGUAGUACUAGGAUGGGUGACCCCCUGGAAGUCCUCGUGUUGCAACCCC
rnacentral:rRNA from 1 species